UACGUAGGGUGCGAGCGUUGUCCGGAAUUAUUGGGCGUAAAGAGCUUGUAGGCGGUUUGUCGCGUCUGCUGUGAAAAUCCGGGGCUCAACCCCGGACUUGCAGUGGGUACGGGCAGACUGGAGUGUGGUAGGGGAGACUGGAAUUCCUGGUGUAGCGGUGGAAUGCGCAGAUAUCAGGAGGAACACCGAUGGCGAAGGCGGUUCUCUGGGCCUGUACUGACGCUGAGGAGCGAAAGCGUGGGGAGCAAACAGG
rnacentral:rRNA from 1 species